AACGAACGCUGGCGGCAUGCCUAACACAUGCAAGUCGAACGCCUAGCUUCGGCUAGGAGUGGCGCACGGGUGAGUAGCGCGUGGGAACCUGCCCUGUUGUGGGGGAUAACCGAUGGAAACGUCGGCUAAUACCGCAUACGCCCUUAGGGGGAAAGAUUUAUCGCAGCAGGAGGGGCCCGCGUCGGAUUAGCUAGUUGGUGAGGUAACGGCUCACCAAGGCUAUGAUCCGUAGCNGGUCUGAGAGGAUGAUCAGCCACACUGGGACUGAGACACGGCCCAGACUCCUACGGGAGGCAGCAGUGGGGAAUAUUGGACAAUGGGCGCAAGCCUGAUCCAGCAAUGCCGCGUGAGUGAUGAAGGCCUUAGGGUUAGUAAAG
rnacentral:rRNA from 1 species